UACCUUUAAUAAGCCUAAUAGAGGCUUAAUUUUUAAAUUCCUUCAGUUCAAUAAUAUAACCCAAGCGCUGAUUGCAUCCCUAAAGUUUAAUGUACAUGUAGAGGGGUUGACAUUUAUCCCAUGCCACACCAACACAUGAUAGUGCAACUAUAAGAUAACGGAUUGCUCCUAGCGGUGACAGAACGCAUAUCAACAACUAGUGCAUCAUUGAGCAAACUGGCAGCCCACGAUAAUGAUUUCAAUAAUGUACUUAUUAUUGCUGGUAGCUACAACCAAAUCCGAAAUUAUGGAAUACACGAACCAUGAUUUCCUUCUUUACAAGGAUACCAAAGAUGUACUUAUUUAUCAAUCCCACGCAGAUUUAUUUCAUUUAACUAAUAUAAGUCUUUAUAGAGAAAUAAUUAAUCUUGAAACAGAAUUUCUAAAGGGUCACGACAACAAAAAUUUUCUUUGGGAAAUAUCCCAUGAUUUAAAAAUUAUCAAAAUACUUAUCUCUCAAGUUGUACCCAGUAGAUCAAAAAGAGGCAUUAAUGAAAUAGGCACCAUUUGGAAACGGAUAGCGGGAACACCAGAUCAUGAUGAUUUCAUAACAGUCCAAAAUAAAAUCGAUAAUUUUAUACAAAAUAAUAACGAUCAAUUCGUUAUUAAUUCUAAAAUAUUUAAAGAGAUAAAAUCUUUGUCUGAACAAUUCAAAACAGCCUUUAAAAAUCAAGAAAUUCCACUUAGAAAAUAUCGUCUGCGCUUGCUUACUUACGAUCUUAUGAAUUUAAUGGACAGAAUUACACUUGCCAAAAUUGAUGUAUUUAAUACUAAAAUUCUAAACAAUGAUGAUAUACUAGAAAUUUAUAAGCACGAAGAUAGACCUGAUUUACAUAAAAUACCCUAUUAUUACCGAUUGUUGUGACGUUUACAAUUCAAGAUCCAUUUCACAUAAUGAUGGAAAAUUAUUAUUUGAUAAUCACGUCGCAAAAUGUAGAAAUAAGUACUAUGUAAUGUCUAAUUUUAAGGCAGAAAUAUUUAAUAAUUAUUGCACACUUAACCAAGAAGGCUCUUGUUUCACUAGAUUACUAAAUGGAGAAAAAUCCUUUUGUAUCAAAAUCCAAGAAAAAAAUAAAAAUGUAAAUGUAAUCCAAAAUGUAGUCAUUUUUGUAAAUGGAGAAAAUACAGUUAAUGACACUCAUUUAAAUGGGUAAUUUUUAAUAACUUUUAAUGGCACCACUAAAAUUAAUAAUAUUUCCUACACAAAUGUAGACAAUAAGAUAUUGGAAUAUAUCACAGCUCGAAGAUUUUUUAGUAUCCGAAUAAAUUAUAUCUAAUGAUUCGGAACUCACAUUCGAUAAUAUUAACAUACUAAAUCCAUUUAUUCAAAUUAAACAAACUCAAAUACCAGUUACGUUAAUAUUAAUCAUAUUUACACUUAUAUAUUUAACUAUUAUGAUUAUAAUCAAAUUCAGAAAAUUUUUAAUAUUCAAACCAUGGCAAAUUCAUAUAGAAAUUGAACCAGAAAAUAAUAUUUCCGAUAAUGAAAUAAAUAAUAUACCCGACAAUGAAUAUACCCCAGAAGAAAAUAUCAUUGUCGAAUUAACCCAUCAAUUACGUUCAAUAUACCCAUCAGUUCCAAUGAAUCGGGACGAUUCUAUUUAGAAUGGGGGGAGUUAUAUGACACAUUAUUUAGGGGCUCUUACCCAAUUUUAUAAAAAACUUUGAGCCGAGAGCCAAUUUCCAAAUAACUCUGACAGACCCAAGAUAAAUCCGUGGUCAGCUAUUUCUUUCAACCAGGCCUCCGAAUCAUUCCCACCCAGAUCAAUUUCACGCAGCCCAAAUCAAACGGAUGCUGUAAACAUCCAGUCCGCUAACGUAAACAAAAGAUCCCCAAAGCGAGCCCCGAGUCCGUUAACGUAAACAAAAAGAUCCCCAAAGCGGUCCCUAAAACUCCGCUAAUGUAAACACCAAUUUCCGGCCAAGAUUGGACUUAAAAUUUAAUUUGCAAAUUGCAUCAUCCUAUUUUCCGACUCUCUUGAGCCAUUCUGUUUAUCAAUUUUUGGGGAUAAAUUCUCUUAAGCCGAGGUUUGAUUAUUAAUCAUUGAACUGGAGAUCAGGCAGUCCGUUUUUCAGAUCCGAAACGAGCAGUAGUGCAAAUCGAGGAAAAAUAAACGAGCAGUGAAUUAACUAAGUUCGACUUAUUAAAAAAUUGUAGUAGAGAUUAAGUGAUUAAUAAAUAAAAAAAAUUUUUUUUAAUUAAGUCAGAAGUGAGAAACUUAAUUUGCAUAGCCGGCAAACACAGCAUAUUUGCUUGGCCGCUAUAAUAUCCAAUUUUUGUUAGCCUUAAGUCCAGUUCUGUUUUAUACUUCGAAUAAAGAGCACGCUGAUCAUAAACUUUA